CAAUAGGGAUCUCUAAGUAAGAUUUCCAGAUAUUUUACUACCUCCUCGCUCCUAAGUUAUCUGUUGCUUGGACCAAAAUAUAUCCUGAUCUUAUCCAGAGGAGUGCACCCUAAGUCAUCUCCCAUCGAUUCUUAUCUGAUCUGCCUGAAAAUAUCUCCAAUCAUGUACGAGGAUAGAACCUAUAAAUAGCCUAGCUCCCAUCUUCCAUCAGCCAUCGCUCGAUACAACCAAGUUAUCCCUGUUAGUUGUCUAGCCGUGAGCUACUGUACUGGUACAGAGUGCUUAGUUCAGAAGGAGGAGAAUAGAUUGUAGAGGCCACAAGGAGGAGAUAUUUCCAUCGUUGGAUUUACAAGGGCGAGCUAGGAGGGUGCUGGUUUGCCAACUAGAGGUACGGAGGAUACACAAAUUUAAUCAUCGAGGAUACUCAAGGCAAGCUGCGUAUACCAGAAUCUUCUUGUGUGCUUUGUAUUUCCUUCAUUCCUUGAUUGAUUUAUUUGAUUGCGAUGCUUAUAUGUGUAUUGUUUGCUAUAUCUCUAUAUCGGUAGAGCUAUUUCCUUUGCAUUUUCAGCAUAUGUUAAUUGUUGUAUAUUGGUCAAGAAGAUAAAAUAUGGGAUCAUAUAUCAACAAAUUGGUUGGUCAUAAUCAUGGAAAGUGUGGUGUAUCCAGCCUGAGACGGUCGAUACCUGAAAGGUGUGGGAUGGCAGGCCCGGAUGGGAAGGCCCACACAAGUAGGGUACUCGGCGACGUGAUUCUCAGAGAUCGAUAAUAUCACGAGGUGGGAUUAUGACAAUUGAUUUGCUGAUACUCUGCAGAGGUUUAACUAAAACUUGAGUUUUAUGUUACAUAUAUUAAGGAGGAUAUUCAUGUUGGUUGUACUUGGUUUAUGCCAAAAGGCGUUUAGUCGCUAUGAGGGCAUAUCGCACCCUGCUGAACUAUGUGUGUACAAUAGACUGUAAAAUCUGUAUAUUCUUGCUGAGUAUGUUUAACAUACUCAC